UCGCACUAGAAAGCAUGGUCAAGCUGCCAGUGUAGCUGCAGUCUUUUUAGUUGCAAAUUACGAGUAUUUCCUCUUGUGUUAAUAAUUCGCCAUGCCAAAACAAGUGUAACUUUCCUCCUUCUUUCAACGUGAAGAGAGAACACAACAUCAAGAAAACGUGGAAUAAACAGCAAUAAUGGAAGAGCCGGUUUCUAAGCUACCUAAAACUAGCAAUGUUACAUGGAGUCAACAGGAAAUCUUUUGGUGGAGAGGGUGGAGACCUCGACUGGCUAUCGUAGCCUGCAGGGAAUCGGCCGUCAGACUUUCUGUCGCAUGUCCCAGACCCGGUGAAAUGUAACUGAAUUGUCUUGGCCAGCCCUAAGGGUUCCAUCUGCAUCUCAUCAUUGCUGAGGAGUGUGCUCCCAUCACCCAAUCAAGCAUCCAGCCAGAACAGGUCAUGAUAUAUUUUUUACCAUAUUAACAUGCCAUUGUUGUGUGUUAUGCCUGAUGUAAAGACUCUCGUCUCUGCGAGCCUACCACACAGAUUUAAUACUUGUCAUUUUUAGGGCAUACCUAACAACGUGUUUUCUUUCUCUAUC